AGGUAGGAAUACCCGCUGAACUUAAGCAUAUCAAUAAGCGGAGGAAAAGAAACCAACAGGGAUUGCCCUAGUAACGGCGAGUGAAGCGGCAACAGCUCAAAUUUGAAAUCUGGCUUCGGCCCGAGUUGUAAUUUGCAGAGGAUGUUUAUGGUGCGGUACCUUCCGAGUUCCCUGGAACGGGACGCCACAGAGGGUGAGAGCCCCGUCUGGUUGGAUACCAAACCUGUGUUAAACUCCUUCAACGAGUCGAGUAGUUUGGGAAUGCUGCUCUAAAUGGGAGGUAAAUCUCUUCUAAAGCUAAAUACUGGCCAGAGACCGAUAGCGCACAAGUAGAGUGAUCGAAAGAUGAAAAGCACCUUGAAAAGGGGGUUAAACAGUACGUGAAAUUGUUGAAAGGGAAGCGUUUAUGACCAGACUUGUGUCGUGUGGCUCAUCCGAGGUUCUCCCCGGUGCACUCCACGCGGCUCAGGCCAACAUCGGUUCUUGUUGGAGGAUAAGAACAGUAGGAACGUAGCUCUCCUUCGGGGGAGUGUUAUAGCCUAUUGUACGAUACUCUGACGGGGACCGAGGACCGCGCUUCGGCUAGGAUGUUGG
rnacentral:rRNA from 1 species